UACAGAGGGGGCAAGCGUUGUUCGGAAUUACUGGGCGUAAAGGGCGCGUAGGCGGCCUUCUAAGUCGAACGUGAAAUCCCUGGGCUCAACCCAGGAACUGCGUCCGAUACUGGAAGGCUUGAAUCCGGAAGAGGGAUGCGGAAUUCCAGGUGUAGCGGUGAAAUGCGUAGAUAUCUGGAGGAACACCGGUGGCGAAGGCGGCAUCCUGGACCGGUAUUGACGCUGAGGCGCGAAAGCCAGGGGAGCAAACGGG
rnacentral:rRNA from 1 species